rnacentral:tRNA from 8 species
GUGGAUAUAGCUCAGUUGGUAGAGCGCUGGCUUGUGGUGCCGGAUGUCGCGGGUUCGAGUCCCGUUAUUCACCCCA